ensembl:lncRNA
CUGGCAUGCUGUUAGUGUCAAUGGUUGUGUCUGUGGAGGACAAGAACUCUGACUGUCACUGCAGACUGUUGGCAGCCAAGCCUGCAGCACCUCUGUCUCUCCUAAUCAUCCUGCAUAAUUAAUGGAGAGAAGAAGGGAUUAUCUGAAUGCCAGUGGGCUGCUCAAGGAAGGGAGAUCAGAACCUGUCUCCACUUGGGUCCGCUGAUCACCAGCAAUAGUAACUAUGUGGAGGAUGGAGAAUCAACUUCUGAUGGAAAAAUAUCAUUUCUCUCUGUCCAAAUAGAAGGGAUGAUUUUCUUGUCAGUCUCCAAAUUGGCCUCCUUGGGACCACGCUCUGAGAUGGUGAUGUCUACAUUACGGAAUAGAGACAACUCUCACCUUACCAAAACAGAGAAGGAAAG